UACGUAGGGUGCGAGCGUUAAUCGGAAUUACUGGGCGUAAAGCGUGCGCAGGCGGUUUUGUAAGCCAGAUGUGAAAUCCCCGGGCUCAACCUGGGAAUGGCAUUUGGGACUGCAAGGCUUGAGUGCGGCAGAGGAGACUGGAAUUCCUGGUGUAGCAGUGAAAUGCGUAGAUAUCAGGAGGAAUACCGAUGGCGAGGGCAGGUCUCUGGGCUGACACUGACGCUCAUGCACGAAAGCGUGGGGAGCAAACAGG
rnacentral:rRNA from 1 species